rnacentral:rRNA from 1 species
UACGAAGGGUGCAAGCGUUAUCCGGAUUUAUUGGGUUUAAAGGGUGCGUAGGCGGACUUAUAAGUCAGUGGUGAAAUCUCGUUGCUUAACAACGAACGUGCCAUUGAUACUGUAGGUCUUGAGUACAGAUGCCGUUGGCGGAAUGUGUCAUGUAGCGGUGAAAUGCAUAGAUAUGACACAGAACACCGAUUGCGAAGGCAGCUGACGAAACUGUAACUGACGCUGAGGCACGAAAGCGUGGGGAUCAAACAGG